rnacentral:ncRNA from 1 species
GGGGAGAGUCUUAGAAUCCCCACGGGACGUCGUGUAAAUAGUGACUGCCUUUGGCCAGACAGCACGGUUUGUGAAUC